UAGGGAAUCUUCCACAAUGGACGCAAGUCUGAUGGAGCAACGCCGCGUGAGUGAAGAAGGUUUUCGGAUCGUAAAGCUCUGUUGUUGGUGAAGAAGGAUAGAGGCAGUAACUGGUCUUUAUUUGACGGUAAUCAACCAGAAAGUCACGGCUAACUACGUGCCAGCAGCCGCGGUAAUACGUAGGUGGCAAGCGUUGUCCGGAUUUAUUGGGCGUAAAGCGAGCGCAGGCGGAAUGAUAAGUCUGAUGUGAAAGCCCACGGCUCAACCGUGUAACUGCAUCGGAAACUGUCAUUCUUGAGUGCAGAAGAGGAGAGUGGAAUUCCAUGUGUAGCGGUGGAAUGCGUAGAUAUAUGGAAGAACACCAGUGGCGAAGGCGGCUCUCUGGUCUGCAACUGACGCUGAGGCUCGAAAGCAUGGGUAGCGAACAGG
rnacentral:rRNA from 1 species